rnacentral:rRNA from 1 species
GGCCUUUUUUUUUGCCUGGGGUCACGUAGCGGCGCACGGGUGAGUAACACGUGAGCAACCUUGCCCCUGACUCCGGGAUAAGCGGUGGAAACGCCGUCUAAUACCGGAUACGACCCUCCUCCGCAUGGUGGGGGGUGGAAAGUUUUUUCGGUCGGGGAUGGGCUCGCGGCCUAUCAGCUUGUUGGUGGGGUAACGGCCUACCAAGGCGAUUACGGGUAGCCGGCCUGAGAGGGCGACCGGCCACACUGGGACUGAGACACGGCCCAGACUCCUGCGGGAGGCAGCAGUGGGGAAUAUUGCGCAAUGGGCGAAAGCCUGACGCAGCGACGCCGCGUGGGGGAUGACGGCCUUCGGGUUGUAAACCUCUUUUACCACUCACGCAGGCCCCGGGUUUUCCCGGGGUUGACGGUAGGUGGGGAAUAAGGACCGGCUAACUACGUGCCAGCAGCCGCGGUAAUACGUAGGGUCCGAGCGUUGUCCGGAAUUAUUGGGCGUAAAGAGCUCGUAGGCGGCGUGUCGCGUCUGCUGUGAAAGACCGGGGCUUAACCCCGGUUCUGCAGUGGAUACGGGCAUGCUAGAGGUAGGUAGGGGAGACUGGAAUUCCUGGUGUAGCGGUGAAAUGCGCAGAUAUCAGGAGGAACACCGGUGGCGAAGGCGGGUCUCUGGGCCUUACCUGACGCUGAGGAGCGAAAGCAUGGGGAGCGAACAGGAUUAGAUACCCUGGUAGUCCAUGCCGUAAACGUUGGGCGCUAGGUGUGGGGACUUUCCACGGUUUCCGCGCCGUAGCUAACGCAUUAAGCGCCCCGCCUGGGGAGUACGGCCGCAAGGCUAAAACUCAAGGAAUUUGACGGGGGCCCGCACAAGCCGGCGGGAAGCAUGGUGCUAUUCGACGCAUCGCCGAGAAACCUUUAACCAAGGGUUUUGGACAUCCACCCGCGUGUGGAACCCGUGUGAUA